rnacentral:rRNA from 1 species
CCUACGGGAGGCUGCAGUGAGGAAUAUUGGUCAAUGGACGAGAGUCUGAACCAGCCAAGUAGCGUGAAGGAUGACUGCUCUAUGGGUUGUAAACUUCUUUUAUAAAGGAAUAAAACGAGGCACGUGUGCCUUUUUGCAUGUAGUUUAUGAAUAAGGAGCGGCUAACUCCGUGCCAGCAGCCGCGGUAAUACGGAGGAUCCGAGCGUUAUCCGGAUGUAUUGGGUUUAAAGGGAGCGUAGAUGGGUUGUUAAGUCAGUUGUGAAAGUUUGCGGCUCAACCGUAAAAUUGCAAUUGAUACUGGCAGUCUUGAGUACAGUUGAGGUAGGCGGAAUUCGUGGUGUAGCGGUGAAAUGCUUAGAUAUCACGAAGAACCCCGAUUGCGAAGGCAGCUUACUAAACUGUGACUGACAUUGAUGCUCGAAAGUGUGGGUAUCAAACAGGAUUAGAUACCCUAGUAGUC